GAUGGCGCCUUUUUUAAAACGAAGUAUGUAACCAUGGCAACCGAUACUGCACCGCUGAUGUACGCCGGAACAGUCACCACCAUUUGGAUUUCACAACAAUUCAACCCGUGUGUGUUUCUGGGUCAUCUGAGAUUCUGCUCCAUGUCUCAUCCACCCUUCCUGAGUUGAAGAAACAACCCAGGGAAGGUUUCAUUGUACACCAAAGCGACGGGGGAAGAGAGCACGCCGCCAAAUAGCCCAGUGGAGGAACAUUAAGAAUGCUUGACUGGGCUUUUGGGAGGAACCUUCAGUCCUGGCGGCAAGAGCUCUCUAUCUGGCGAAGAUGGAGAAGAAAACUCCCCUCUGUAGAGUGUUGUGUAACCGCUUAAUAUAUGGAUC